CUUGCUCUGUCUGAUCAGUGGCGAACGGGUGAGUAACACGUGAGUAACCUGCCCCCGACUCUGGAAUAACCGUGGGAAACGACGGCUAAUACCGGAUAUGAGACGCACGGGCAUCUGUGUGUCUGGAAAGAUUUAUCGGUCAGGGAUGGACUCGCGGCCUAUCAGCUUGUUGGUGGGGUAAUGGCCCACCAAGGCGACGACGGGUAGCCCGGCCUGAAAGGGCGACCGGCCACACUGGGACUGAGAUACGGCCCAGACUCCUACGGGAGGCAGCAGUGGGGAAUAUUGCACAAUGGGCGCAAGCCUGAUGCAGCGACGCCGCGUGAGGGAUGAAGGCCUUCGGGUUGUAAACCUCUUUCAGCAGGGAAGAAGCGAAAGUGACGGUACCUGCAGAAGAAGCGCCGGCUAACUACGUGCCAGCAGCCGCGGUAAUACGUAGGGCGCAAGCGUUGUCCGGAAUUAUUGGGCGUAAAGAGCUCGUAGGCGGUUUGUCGCGUCUGCUGUGAAAACCUGAGGCUCAACCUCGGGCUUGCAGUGGGUACGGGCAGACUAGAGUGCGGUAGGGGUGACUGGAAUUCCUGGUGUAGCGGUGGAAUGCGCAGAUAUCAGGAGGAACACCGAUGGCGAANGCAGGUCACUGGGCCGCAACUGACGCUGAGGAGCGAAAGCAUGGGGAGCGAACAGGAUUAGAUACCCUGGUAGUCCAUGCCGUAAACGUUGGGCACUA
rnacentral:rRNA from 1 species